UCAGAAACUUAAAGGAAGUUGACGGGGCCCGGCACAAGCGGUGGAGUAUGUGGUUUAAUUCGAUGCAACGCGAAGAACCUUACCUGGUCUUGACAUCCCGGAGACCCUUAGGAACUAGGGGUGCUUCCAUCUGGAAGAAUCUGGAGACAGGUGCUGCAUGGCUGUCGUCAGCUCGUGUCGUGAGAUGUUGGGUUAAGUCCCGCAACGAGCGCAACCCUUGCCUUUAGUUGCCAGCAGUUCGGCUGGGCACUCUAAAGGGACUGCCGGUGUUAAACCGGAGGAAGGUGGGGAUGACGUCAAGUCCUCAUGGCCUUUAUGACCAGGGCUACACACGUACUACAAUGGCCGAUACAAAGGGCAGCGACACUGCGAGGUGAAGCCAAUCCCGUAAAAUCGGUCUCAGUCCGGAUUGGAGUCUGCAACUCGACUCCAUGAAGUUGGAAUCGCCAGUAAUCGUGGAUCAGCAUGCCACGGUGAAUACGUUCCCGGGCCUU
rnacentral:rRNA from 1 species